UGUAGCUUUGUAUUGGAUUUUGAACGGAUCUGUGUAGGAUAGGUGGGAGGCUUUGAAGUGAGGACGCUAGUUCUCAUGGAGCCGACGUUGAAAUACCACCCUGGUGCGUUUGAGGUUCUAACCCAGGUCCCUUAUCGGGAUCGGGGACAGUGCAUGGUAGGCAGUUUGACUGGGGCGGUCUCCUCCCAAAGCGUAACGGAGGAGUUCGAAGGUACGCUAGUUACGGUCG
rnacentral:rRNA from 1 species